rnacentral:rRNA from 1 species
GGCGGCGUGCCUAACACAUGCAAGUCGAACGGACCUUUAUUUUUGAGACUUUCCAUUUCCUUGGAAUGUCCCAUAAAUAAUGGUUAGUGGCGGACGGGUGAGUAACACGUUGGUACCUGCCCUCUAGUGGGGAAUAACUGGCCGAAAGGUCAGCUAAUACCGCAUACGAUCUACGGAUCAAAGCAGCAAUGCGCUAGAGGAGGGGCCUGCGGCUGAUUAGCUUGUUGGUAGGGUAAUGGCCUACCAAGGCGACGAUCAGUAGCUGGAUCGAGAGGUUGACCAGCCACACUGGGACUGAGAUACGGCCCAGACUCCUACGGGAGGCAGCAGUGAGGAAUUUUCCACAAUGGACGAAAGUCUGAUGGAGCAACGCCGCGUGCAGGAAGACGGCCUUCGGGUUGUAAACUGCUUUUAUUCGGGAAGAUUAUGACGGUACCGAAUGAAUAAGGAUCGGCUAACUACGUGCCAGCAGCCGCGGUAAUACGUANGAUCCAAGCGUUAUCCGGAAUUACUGGGCGUAAAGCGUACGUANGUGGAGAUUUAAGUGAGAUGCGAAAUCUGGCGGCUCAACCGUCUAGACUGUGUCUCAUACUGGGUUUC